GAGGAUGUAGCUCAGUGGUAGAGCGCUUGCUUUGCAUGUAUGAGGCCCUGGGUUCAAUCCCCGGCAUCUCCA
rnacentral:tRNA from 1 species